rnacentral:rRNA from 1 species
CCUACGGGGGGCAGCAGUCGAGAAUCAUUCACAAUGGGGGAAACCCUGAUGGUGCGACGCCGCGUGGGGGAAUGAAGGUCUUCGGAUUGUAAACCCCUGUCAUGUGGGAGCAAAUUAAAAAGAUAGUACCACAAGAGGAAGAGACGGCUAACUCUGUGCCAGCAGCCGCGGUAAUACAGAGGUCUCAAGCGGUGUUCGGAAUCACUGGGCGUAAAGCGUGCGUAGGCUGUUUCGUAAGUCGUGUGUGAAAGGCGCGGGCUCAACCCGCGGACGGCACAUGAUACUGCGAGACUAGAGUAAGGGAGGGGGAACCGGAAUUCUCGGUGUAGCAGUGAAAUGCGUAGAUAUCGAGAGGAACACUCGUGGCGAAGGCGGGUUCCUGGACAUUAACUGACGCUGAGGCACGAAGGCCAGGGGAGCGAAAGGGAUUAGAUACCCCUGUAGUC